rnacentral:sRNA from 1 species
AACAUAAUUUAUCAAAUGACCAUGCGCGUGUUGAUCUUGAUGAAAGUUUUGAGUCAUUGGCCACCACUACCUCUGAAGCUUCAGAAUGGACACCCCCUGAGAAUGAUGAAAACAACAAUCUGGAUAAUCAGGAGUCUCCACCAAGUCACCAUAGCAGAAAAUUCAUCGUUUUCGUGGAAUGUUUGGAUCCGCUUCUCCAGUUUUGUACCAUCUGUGGGAGAAAAUGCGACCAUAAAAAAACGUUGUUGGGACAGUGUUGGUUGUUUCUACGCUGUGGAAAGGGUUUGGAAAGCUCACCAAGAUGCCUUAUUUGAUUUGAUAAGACGACAGAAUGAAGCUGUAGUUGUUGGAGGAGAUGCUAGGUGUUGUUCGCCAGGACACACGGCCAAAUAUGGGUCAUACAGUCUUAUGGAUCUGGAGCUGGGACAAAUCCUUGAUAGUGAUGAAGUGACGAGUUCAUACUGGAUGGAAAUGGAGGGUUUAUUACGGUGCCUUCAGAAAUUGGAAGAGGAGGGUGUGGUUAUAAGUGACCUUGUUACUGACAGACAUCCCCAGUUUAAUGCCUACAUGAAGAAAGAGAGGACUGAUAUCAACUAUUGGUUUGAUGUCAGGCAUGUGGCUAAAGGCAUAUACAAAAAGCUGGAGACUGUUGGUAAGAAGAAGAAGAGUGAGCUAAUGGGAGAUUGGGCCUGGUCAGUCUCAAACCACCUAUACUGGUGUGCAUCAUCGAGUGACGGAGAUGGGGAAUUGGUGUCCGAGGAAAGGCUGUCCGUUCUCAACCAUAUCACUGAUGUUCAUUAAGGUCAUGGACAGCGAUUUCCCAAAUGUUUACAUGGUGAAUUAGAGGAUAGAGAUUGGAUCAAGAAGGGAAGUUUAGCUUUUCUAGAGAUGGAAAAAGUUGUUAAAGGCAAACUAUUGGUGAAUGACAUCAAAAAGCUUUCCCCAGCCGAGCAAACAUCAGCACUUGAAUCCUAUC